GACGAACGCUGGCGGCGUGCCUAAUACAUGCAAGUCGGGCGGAUGAAAGAGGAGCUUGCUCCUCUAGAUUCAGCGGCGGACGGGUGAGUAACACGUGGGCAACCUGCCCUGUAGAUUGGGAUAACUCCGGGAAACCGGGGCUAAUACCGAAUAAUCCUUCGGACCUCAUGGUCCGAUGUUGAAAGACGGUUUCGGCUGUCACUACAGGAUGGGCCCGCGGCGCAUUAGCUAGUUGGUGAGGUAACGGCUCAACAAGGCCACGAUGCGUAGCCGACCUGAGAGGGUGAUCGGCCACACUGGGACUGAGACACGGCCCAGACUCCUACGGGAGGCAGCAGUAGGGAAUCUUCCACAAUGGACGAAAGUCUGAUGGAGCAACGCCGCGUGAGUGAAGAAGGUUCUCGGAUCGUAAAACUCUGUUGUGAGGGAAGAACAAGUACCGGAGUCACUGCCGGUGCCUUGACGGUACCUCAUUAGAAAGCCACGGCUAACUACGUGCCAGCAGCCGCUGUAA
rnacentral:rRNA from 1 species